GGUUAAGCGACUAAGCGUACACGGUGGAUGCCCUGGCAGUCAGAGGCGAUGAAGGACGUGCUAAUCUGCGAAAAGCGUCGGUAAGGUGAUAUGAACCGUUAUAACCGGCGAUGUCCGAAUGGGGAAACCCAGUGCAAUUCGUUGCACUAUCGUUAACUGAAUACAUAGGUUAACGAGGCGAACCGGGGAACUGAAACAUCUAAGUACCCCGAGGAAAAGAAAUCAACCGAGAUUCCCCCAGUAGCGGCGAGCGAACGGGGAGCAGCCCAGAGUCUGAAUCAGCUUGUGUGUUAGUGGAACGGUCUGGAAAGUCCGACGGUACAGGGUGAUAGUCCCGUACACCAAAAUGCACAGGCUGUGAACUCGAAGAGUAGGGCGGGACACGUGGUAUCCUGUCUGAAUAUGGGGGGACCAUCCUCCAAGGCUAAAUACUCCUGACUGACCGAUAGUGAACCAGUACCGUGAGGGAAAGGCGAAAAGAACCCCGGCGAGGGAGUGAAAAAGAACCUGAAACCGUGUACGUACAAGCAGUGGGAGCACCUUCGGGUGUGACUGCGUACCUUUUGUAUAAUGGGUCAGCGACUUAUAUUCUGUAGCAAGGUUAACCGUAUAGGGGAGCCGCAGGGAAACCGAGUCUUAACUGGGCGUUAAGUUGCAGGGUAUAGACCCGAAACCCGGUGAUCUAGCCAUGGGCAGGUUGAAGGUUGGGUAACACUAACUGGAGGACCGAACCGACUAAUGUUGAAAAAUUAGCGGAUGACUUGUGGCUGGGGGUGAAAGGCCAAUCAAACCGGGAGAUAGCUGGUUCUCCCCGAAAGCUAUUUAGGUAGCGCCUCGUGAACUCAUCUUCGGGGGUAGAGCACUGUUUCGGCUAGGGGGUCAUCCCGACUUACCAACCCGAUGCAAACUACGAAUACCGAAGAAUGUUAUCACGGGAGACACACGGCGGGUGCUAACGUCCGUCGUGAAGAGGGAAACAACCCAGACCGCCAGCUAAGGUCCCAAAGUCAUGGUUAAGUGGGAAACGAUGUGGGAAGGCACAGACAGCCAGGAUGUUGGCUUAGAAGCAGCCAUCAUUUAAAGAAAGCGUAAUAGCUCACUGGUCGAGUCGGCCUGCGCGGAAGAUGUAACGGGGCUAAACCAUGCACCGAAGCUGCGGCAGCGACACUAUGUGUUGUUGGGUAGGGGAGCGUUCUGUAAGCCUGCGAAGGUGACCUGUGAGGGUUGCUGGAGGUAUCAGAAGUGCGAAUGCUGACAUAAGUAACGAUAAAGCGGGUGAAAAGCCCGCUCGCCGGAAGACCAAGGGUUCCUGUCCAACGUUAAUCGGGGCAGGGUGAGUCGACCCCUAAGGCGAGGCCGAAAGGCGUAGUCGAUGGGAAACAGGUUAAUAUUCCUGUACUUGGUGUUACUGCGAAGGGGGACGGAGAAGGCUAUGUUAGCCGGGCGACGGUUGUCCCGGUUUAAGCAUGUAGGCUGGUUAUCCAGGCAAAUCCGGAUAAUCAAGGCUGAGGUGUGAUGACGAGGCACUACGGUGCUGAAGUAACAAAUGCCCUGCUUCCAGGAAAAGCCUCUAAGCAUCAGGUAACAUCAAAUCGUACCCCAAACCGACACAGGUGGUCAGGUAGAGAAUACCAAGGCGCUUGAGAGAACUCGGGUGAAGGAACUAGGCAAAAUGGUGCCGUAACUUCGGGAGAAGGCACGCUGGUGUGUAGGUGAAGUCCCUGCGGAUGGAGCUGAGACCAGUCGAAGAUACCAGCUGGCUGCAACUGUUUAUUAAAAACACAGCACUGUGCAAACACGAAAGUGGACGUAUACGGUGUGACGCCUGCCCGGUGCCGGAAGGUUAAUUGAUGGGGUUAUCCGUAAGGAGAAGCUCUUGAUCGAAGCCCCGGUAAACGGCGGCCGUAACUAUAACGGUCCUAAGGUAGCGAAAUUCCUUGUCGGGUAAGUUCCGACCUGCACGAAUGGCGUAAUGAUGGCCAGGCUGUCUCCACCCGAGACUCAGUGAAAUUGAACUCGCUGUGAAGAUGCAGUGUACCCGCGGCAAGACGGAAAGACCCCGUGAACCUUUACUAUAGCUUGACACUGAACAUUGAGCCUUGAUGUGUAGGAUAGGUGGGAGGCUUUGAAGCGUGGACGCCAGUCUGCGUGGAGCCAACCUUGAAAUACCACCCUUUAAUGUUUGAUGUUCUAACGUUGGCCCCUGACCGGGGUUGCGGACAGUGUCUGGUGGGUAGUUUGACUGGGGCGGUCUCCUCCCAAAGCGUAACGGAGGAGCACGAAGGUUAGCUAAUCCUGGUCGGACAUCAGGAGGUUAGUGCAAUGGCAUAAGCUAGCUUGACUGCGAGCGUGACGGCGCGAGCAGGUGCGAAAGCAGGUCAUAGUGAUCCGGUGGUUCUGAAUGGAAGGGCCAUCGCUCAACGGAUAAAAGGUACUCCGGGGAUAACAGGCUGAUACCGCCCAAGAGUUCAUAUCGACGGCGGUGUUUGGCACCUCGAUGUCGGCUCAUCACAUCCUGGGGCUGAAGUAGGUCCCAAGGGUAUGGCUGUUCGCCAUUUAAAGUGGUACGCGAGCUGGGUUUAGAACGUCGUGAGACAGUUCGGUCCCUAUCUGCCGUGGGCGCUGGAGAAUUGAGGGGGCUGCUCCUAGUACGAGAGGACCGGAGUGGACGCAUCACUGGUGUUCGGGUUGUCAUGCCAAUGGCACUGCCCGGUAGCUAAAUGCGGAAGAGAUAAGUGCUGAAAGCAUCUAAGCACGAAACUUGCCCCGAGAUGAGUUCUCCCUGAGACUUUAAGUCUCCUGAAGGAACGUUAAAGACGAUGACGUUGAUAGGCCGGGUGUGUAAGCGCAGCGAUGCGUUGAGCUAACCGGUACUAAUGAACCGUGAGGCUUAACCUU
rnacentral:rRNA from 1 species